rnacentral:rRNA from 1 species
GUCGAGGGGCAGCACGAUUGAGCUUGCUCAUUGGUGGCGACCGGCGCACGGGUGCGUAACGCGUAUGCAACCUACCCUGUACUGGGGUAUAGCCCGAAGAAAUUCGGAUUAAUCCCCCAUAGUAUAUUUCAUUCGCAUGUUUGGAAUAUUAAAGGUUACGGUACAGGAUGGGCAUGCGUCCAUUAGCUAGAUGGUGAGGUAACGGCUCACCAUGGCGACGAUGGGUAGGGGGCCUGAGAGGGUGGUCCCCCACACUGGUACUGAGACACGGACCAGACUCCUACGGGAGGCAGCAGUGAGGAAUAUUGGUCAAUGGGCGCAAGCCUGAACCAGCCAUGCCGCGUGCAGGAAGACGGUCCUAUGGAUUGUAAACUGCUUUUAUUUGGGAAUAAACCUAUCUACGUGUAGAUAGCUGAAGGUACCAAAUGAAUAAGCGCCGGCUAACUCCGUGCCAGCAGCCGCGGUAAUACGGAGGGUGCAAGCGUUAUCCGGAAUCAUUGGGUUUAAAGGGUCCGCAGGCGGGUUUAUAAGUCAGUGGUGAAAGCCUACAGCUCAACUGUAGAACUGCCAUUGAAACUGUAGAUCUUGAAUUCGGUCGAAGUGGGCGGAAUAUGACAUGUAGCGGUGAAAUGCUUAGAUAUGUCAUAGAACACCGAUAGCGAAGGCAGCUCACUAGGCCUGGAUGACGCU